rnacentral:rRNA from 1 species
ACGCUGGCGGCACGCCUAACACAUGCAAGUCGAACGAAGUAGCAAUACUUAGUGGCAAACGGGUGAGUAAUAUGUGGGAAUCUGCCCUUCGGUCUGGAAUAACAUGAGGAAACUUAUGCUAAUACCGGAUAAGCCUUUACAGGGAAAGCUUUAUGCUCCGAUUGAUGAGCCCACACUUGAUUAGUUAGUUGGUGAGGUAAUAGCUCACCAAGACAAUGAUCAAUAGCUGAUUUGAGAGGAUGAUCAGCCACAUUGGGACUGAGACACGGCCCAAACUCCUACGGGAGGCAGCAGUGGGGAAUCUUGCACAAUGGGGGAAACCCUGAUGCAGCGAUGCCGCGUGAGUGAAGAAGGCCCUUGGGUUGUAAAGCUCUUUCGUCGGGGAAGAAAAUGACUGUACCCGAAUAAGAAGGUCCGGCUAACUUCGUGCCAGCAGCCGCGGUAAUACGAAGGGACCUAGCGUAGUUCGGAAUUACUGGGCUUAAAGAGCACGUAGGUGGUUAAAAAAGUUGGUGGUGAAAUCCCAGAGCUUAACUCUGGAACUGCCAUCAAAACUUUUUAGCUAGAGUAUGAUAGAGGAAAGUAGAAUUUCUAGUGUAGAGGUGAAAUUCGUAGAUAUUAGAAAGAAUACCAAUUGCGAAGGCAGCUUUCUGGAUCAUUACUGACACUGAGGUGCGAAAGCAUGGGUAGCGAAGAGGAUUAGAUACCCUCGUAGUCCAUGCCGUAAACGAUGUGUGCUAGACGUUGGAAAUUUAUUUUCAGUGUCGCAGCGAAAGCGUUAAGCACACCGCCUGGGGAGUACGACCGCAAGGUUAAAACUCAAAUGAAAUUGACGG